rnacentral:misc_RNA from 1 species
AUUUGAACUGGUGACACGAGGAUUUUCAGUCCUCUGCUCUACCGACUGAGCUAUCCCGGCCAACGUCUCUACGGAGAUGCCUCAAAUCCAAAUGAGGCAGAUAUCUUUUUUAUUCGAUCUAUCUCUGCUCAAUCAAACCAAUAGCCUCGGUAAAAAAAAAAAAAAAAAAAAAUAGUCGUUUGUUUAAUAUUUCCUAUAGUUUUCAAAUGAACCACUCAAAAAGUCUUUUAGGCUUGCUCAGUGGUUCAUUUGUGAUCCAUACUCAAAUAAAAGGUUAAAGUCGAAAGGACAGGGUAUUAAGCUAAAUUUAUCGAGCUCUGAGUCAAAGAUCUAAGAUUUACUACUCCCCUCAAUAGUUUGGAGGGGGUGAGAUAACCAUAUGAACCCGAACAAUCUAUCUAUAGAUUGGCAAUUCUACCCUGUUCUGUUGGGGAUAGAGGGACUUGAACCCUCACGGUCCUAUAAAGACCAACGGAUUUUCUUUCUACCACAAUUUGCAUUGCUACUUACACUAACCGUGUAGAAUGGGACUCUAUCUUUAUCCACGAAAACAUUAUUAGCUACUACUUGUCAAGGAGUAUUCAUUAAAAUACACCGGGAGACAGGCACUGUAACAGGUAGAAAAGGAAUAUGAAAAUUAGUAGGAAUAGACUAUAUCUUUUAUAUACUAUAGAUUCAAAUAUUGGCGUGAUUCUGCGAACGAAUGUCGACUCUAGAUCGAAACAGGGGUCGCGCUCGAUCCUUAUCUAACUAGAAAAGCUUUUUUUUUUUUUUCACUUCUUCGUUUCAUAUUCCUGUAUUUCAUCUCGUUCAAUCACCCAUCAAUCACCCAUAUGGGGUAGUUAAAUAUUUAGUUACUGUAGAAAUAAGAAUUAAUAGGUUGUUCGUUGGAAUAGCCCCCGUCGAGUCUCUGUACCUAUCUCGCUUCGUCAUCUAAAAUUUAGAUAGAUGAAAUGAGAUUUGGCUCAGGAUUGCCCGCGAAAUAAUCCUAGGUUCCCCUGAAUCUGGGAGCUGUCACUCAGUACGUUUCCAUACCUAGGCUCAAUCUGAUUGAGUCCGUAGCGUCUACCGAUUUCG